rnacentral:snRNA from 1 species
GGAUGUGAGGGCCAUCUGGCUGCAACAUCUGUCACCUCAUUGAUUACCAGGGUUGAUUCUGCUGCUCUAGCUGGUGAGGUGGGUGUCUCCUUCCUUCCUCACCACUCUGUGUGUGUGCCCCCUGGACCUUUCUUUGGUCAAGGGCACAGGGGUUGUACUCCCCUGCUAGAACCACCAAACAAACUCUCAAGGUCCAUUUGAAGGAGACCAUAGGGUAGUCGAGCUUCUAAGACUCCGGACACACCCAAAUGAAGUUCUGCAUGUGACAGUCUGUCUUU